AUGAGCUGGUGAUGGGACUCGAACCCGCAACCGGCUGAUUACAAAUCAGCUGCUCUACCAAUUGAGCUACACCAGC
rnacentral:tRNA from 1 species